rnacentral:rRNA from 1 species
CCUACGGGGGGCAGCAGUGAGGAAUAUUGGUCAAUGGGCGCGAGCCUGAACCAGCCAAGUAGCGUGAAGGAUGACUGCCCUACGGGUUGUAAACUUCUUUUAUAAAGGAAUAAAGUGAGGCACGUGUGCCUUUUUGUAUGUACUUUAUGAAUAAGGAUCGGCUAACUCCGUUCCAGCAGCCGCGGUAAUACGGAGGAUCCGAGCGUUAUCCGGAUUUAUUGGGUUUAAAGGGAGCGUAGUUGGGUUGUUAAGUCAGUUGUGCAAGUUUGAGGCUCAACCGUAGAAUUGCAAGUAAUACUGGUUGUCUGGAGUACAGUGGGGGUAGGCGGAAUUCGUGGUGUAGCGGUGGAAUGC